GCACGUCUGCAUUCCUGUUCCGCUUCAGGUACAAAAUUCGGGAGUUUGAAACAACAUGAAGGCAGUACACAAAUAAUCAGUUCACGGCAUUGUCAGCUUCAGCAAGAAGGACUCUCAUUUCUUAAAACAGAGAAAAGGCUAAUUUAUGGCUUCCUGUGAACAAACUCCAGUCUGAAUGGCUUCCUUCAAAACCUCGGUGGUGCUCUCACGAACAAUGGCUGAAGCUGAAAAACGAGACGGGGCUGACUGCAUGAACAGG